UACGUAGGGUGCGAGCGUUAAUCGGAAUUACUGGGCGUAAAGCGUGCGCAGGCGGCUUCGCAAGUCAGACGUGAAAUCCCCGGGCUUAACCUGGGAAUGGCGUUUGAAACUACGGAGCUGGAGUGUGGCAGAGGGAGGUAGAAUUCCACGUGUAGCGGUGAAAUGCGUAGAUAUCUGGAGGAACACCGGUGGCGAAGGCGGCAUCCUGGACCAAUAUUGACGCUGAGGAGCGAAAGCUAGGGGAGCAAACGGG
rnacentral:rRNA from 1 species